GUGGGGAAUCUUGCGCAAUGGGCGAAAGCCUGACGCAGCCAUGCCGCGUGAAUGAUGAAGGUCUUAGGAUUGUAAAAUUCUUUCACCGGGGACGAUAAUGACGGUACCCGGAGAAGAAGCUCCGGCUAACUUCGUGCCAGCAGCCGCGGUAAUACGAAGGGGGCUAGCGUUGCUCGGAAUUACUGGGCGUAUAGGGCGCGUAGGCGGACAGCUUAGUCAGAGGUGAAAGCCCAGGGCUCAACCUUGGAAUUGCCUUUGAUACUGGCUGUCUUGAGUUUGGGAGAGGUGAGUGGAACUCCGAGUGUAGAGGUGAAAUUCGUAGAGAUUCGGAAGAACACCAGUGGCGAAGGCGACUCACUGGCCCAAUACUGACGCUGAGGCACGAAAGCGUGGGGAUCGAACAGGAUUAGAUACCACUGUAGUCC
rnacentral:rRNA from 1 species